AAUGCCUUAGCAGUACUGUGUCACUCACCCUAGUGGUCCAAAUAUUUCAUUUCCAUAAGAAAACUCAUUCUUUCUACAGUCCCGUGACUCUUCUUUCCCCUAGAAGGUGGAAUUUUAUCUCCCACUAUGCAGCAGGUCUGACAGGUUUUUAAAAGUCUUUCUUCAUUCUUAAAAAUCUGGGAGGAGAGGAAGGAGGAGGUUUCUGAAAGAUGCACAUUCCUGAAGCUGGUUUCUAGAGCUGAAGCAGCCAGUUCAUUCUGGAAGAUGACAGAAUUAUAGAAUGGUUUGGUUGGAAGGGACCUUAAAGAUCACCCAGUUCCAACCCUCUGCCAUGGGAAGGGCCACCUUUCACUAGAUGUUUCACUCCAGAUAUGAUUUUAUUUUAUUAUUUUGUUUUGUUUUAUUCUUGGAGCCCUCCAUGAGUGGGCUCUGCUCUGAAGCAGCCUGACCUUGGAGGCAGAGCUGAGCUGCAGGUGACACCAUGGCUCAUGUGCCAUCUCAAUUUAAAGAAAAAUGAUUGGUGGAAGAAUUUGCCCAAUGUCUUCAGGCACCCAUCAUCAUCUGCAAACCAAAAGCAUGACCUGAAUGAUUUAUUGCAGUGAUCUGCAAAAUACAUUUGCAGCCACAUCUCAGGACUCCCACCCCCUUUCUCUUCUUUUUCAGUUCUGUCAAACUGACAUAUUUUUCCCUUUUAUUUUCUUUUCCCCAGACAUAGCUAACUGCCAUAUCUAUGAUAUUUUAUAUUUAUAAAUGUGAACACAUGCAGACUGCAGUGGGCUUUCUCCACUUUCUUUGCUUUUCUUAAGUUUUCUGGCCAGACAAAUAUCCAUCUGAGCAAAAACUUCUUCCUGACCAACAAAGCCCUGGAAAAAUCCAACACCUUCAUCAACCUCUGGUAGGUGCUGAACCGGUUUGAGCUCCCUGAAGGAGAAUAAAUCAUUGUGCCUGCCCCCUUUGAACCCCCUGAGGGACUUCUGCCUCAGAGUCUUCUCUGAAAAAAAUGGCAACUCCACAUAGGUGGCUUUUGGUGACCAUGUUACAGCAGUGGGCACAUGGGGGAGAUUAUUAUUAUUAUUGUUAUUUUUAUUGUUUUUCUUAUCCAAAUUACUAUUUAAUUAAAAUUAAAAAGCUAAAGCCUGAGGAAGGGGUGUGGAGUCUUUUUUAUUGAGUUGCCUUGAUUCAAAGCAAGCUGAAACCUUCCUCUAUCCUGUAAUAUUUUGCUGCAUACUCCUGCAGCAGUGGGAAACCUGGGAUGUUCAAUGUGUGAGGACACAUUCAGCCCUUAGGACUGCUUGGGCACCAUCUGUAGGUCUGGUGCUCCCUCAGCACCUGGGGGACAGCAUGAGGCACAUCAGAAUUACUUUGGGGCUCACACUUUUUGCUGUUUUAAAGAAGAAAUUACUAGACAAAGUUUGAUUUGUACCCAAAUCAAACUGAUUUUUGUAGUAACCUUGUAAACUCUUGGAAAUAGCAAAAUGGCAUUGAGUGAAUAUACCAUGACACUUAGCAUCCACAGGCCUCUGGAAGAAUUACCAUUAUGCUGAAAAUGGAGACUUUCCCUCUUUGGAGAUACUGGUGCAAAUACCAUGGAAAGAAACUAAGAGUUCCUGUGCUAAGUAGGCAAAAAAAAAAGACCCAGAGUUAUGUGAGCCCCAAAAUCCUGUCUGUGGCUCUGCAGAACAAUUUGUCCUGUCUUUUCAAACUCUUGUUGCCAUAGCUGGCAAAACACAGCUUUCACUCUGCUAUGCUGUGUCCAUUGCUGAUUAAUCCAGUAAUAUUUGAAUGCUCAUUGUUUUUUCCAUAUUUUAAAGAAUCUUUCUUUAACUGAAGCUUGAAGGAAAAGCAUCAUAAACAUGAUUUGUUUUGAUUUUAAUAUUGAUUUCUUUCUAGGGUGAUGAUGAAAUUGAAGACAAUUUUGAUGAGGUACUUCAACUUAAAUGUUUUAAAUUGAGAUAAUUUUGUUGUAAGUGGGGGUUGAAGUGCCUUUUCCCUGUGCAGGGUGAUGUUUUCUAUAGGCAUUAUCAAGAAAUGUUGUCCCACUUUGGGAAAAUGGGAAAAAAAAUCUUUCAAUAUCCAUUGCUAGGUGUGGGAAAAUGGGAAAAGAUCUUUCAAUAUCCAUUUCUGGGUGUCAAGCAAAUGGAAAUAUCAUCAGGAAUGUAAUGGAAACAAGUGUUGUCUUUUAUCUAGAACUUGGACUUCCCAGGCAGAGGUACACUCUCAAGAGUUACCUGGAGCCACAGGAAAUUCCCUUUGUUCUCCAGGAGUCCAGGAGUGCACCUUGCAGCAGCAGGGCUGUUUCUGCAUGUAAUGCUCUUUCCAGGAGUAAAUAGUGGCUCACAAUAUGUUUACUCGUGCUGGGGAUGCUUUGCCUAUUAAUGCAGCUACCCUAUGUGUAGUGGGUGUUUUUUCCAGCAUUUACAAUGCCAGUAUUUUGAGGUGCCCCUGAAAAUAAAACUGAAUAAAAUCAUAAUAAAACCCACUUUGUACCUUCAACCUUGCCAUUUGAAUUUUUUACUAAGGGCAAGGAAAUGCAUUAAGUCUUUCUUAGGCAGAAACUUUCCCCCUUUUGACCUUCUCUGUUUCUGUCUUUUAGACAGAGAUGAGUGAAGAUGACAUCAAACCCAGCUUUAAAAAGCUUUUUGGGCAGCUAGCAGGAAAUAUGAGUGGUUUUUUGGUAAUAUCUUACUGGCAUCGUGGUGAGUGGGUAAGAGAGAUGCCUCCCCCAGGACAGAGUUUAGUUCUUGUGCAGAGUCAGCUCUCAGAGUUGUGCAUCCCAAACCUGUGCAGUCACCCAGCUGCUUCCACGGUGGAUUUGGGAGCGCUCCUGGUGAACAAUCUCUGCUCCUUUUGAACUGUGGGCUUGACUUUUAUCUCUGCAGGGCCUGAAUUCUGUCCUUGGGCAGAGCAUAUGGCUGGGCUGGGCUUCUCCCCAGGCUGCUCUUGCCUCGGGCACACCUUGCUGCUGGGUGUGCUGAUCUCUGGGAACUGGUGGUGCUCCUGGGAAUGGGAGGUGGGGAGAGCUUCCCACUCCCUUCAAUUCAAGGGAACUGAACUCGAAGGGGUGUUAGAAAUUAGCCAACUUGCCCAAAGGAAUCAGAGGCUGCAGAUGGUGUCUGCAGCUCAUGGUGGAAAAUUUGUUUUCUUCUUUUCCACAGGAUGAAGAGAUCUCUGCCUUCGAGCUGCACAGCAUCAUGAAUAAAAUCCUGGCUAAACCUGAGUGCCUUCCUCCACUUCAGAUGGCCACCAGCAGGUUUCCACCGUGGCCAUGGGAGCACAGAGGGCACCACUGCCCUGGGCAGGGUCAGAGCCUGGGCUGUGCCCCAGACCUGCUGCUUGGUUCUCCAUAUGGCCACGACCAUGUGCUCUCUCUGCUGCUUCAGGGGCUGCAGAAACUGGGGCUGUGCCAGCCCAGAAGGUGUUUCACAGGAUGUGUGCUUUGGCAGGGUACAGAUGGGUGUCUUUUAUCCCAGCAUCUGCCACUGGGAAUUGGUUGCCAGGAAGAUGGAUGGAUUUGAAUAAUCCUUGAUAAUAAUCAAGAGAGAGAUUGCUGCUGUUUUAGUACUGAACCACACAGGAGUGAUUCAAGCAGUAGCCCAGCCAAUGGUCUGGGGUGUCCCUAAGGAGAAGGAGAAACUUUGAAACUCUGGGCUUCUUUUUCUCAAGAAAAAAGUGCUUGGAGAAAUAAUUGUCUCUUUAAUUUCCAAAGUGAAAUCUUAUCAGAUGGUCAGGACUGUGGUGUAUGUCUGUGUGCAGCAGCCAGUAAUCAGCAAUGGGCUGUUGCUGGCUUCCAAGCUUGGCUUCAUGUUCAGCCUUUCAUGAAGCCACCUCCUGCUGACCUCCAUAAGCUGGAAGUCCAUGUUGUCCACAGAAGUCCACUUUGCAGGCAGGCAGGGAAGCUUUUGUCUCUGUCUCUUGCUCCUGCAGCACACCUACAAACCAGACUACUCAGGCUGUUUGCUUGGGGACACAUCCCAGCUCACUUGCACCCAAAGCCCCUUUGUCAGCUGAAAGGAUGGCACUGUUGGAAGCAAAUAAAAGCUGGUUGGAGAGCUCAUGAGCUAUUUAGGUGCUGUGGUACAGCAUGCAGUGAUAAUCCUGUCUUUUGCUCUUUACAGGCCAAGAUAUUAAAUCUGAUUGCUUUAGUAUUGAGACAUGCAAAACAAUGGUUGACCUGUUAGAUGUAGCCUUUAAAGCUCUUCCUAGAUAAUAUUCCCCUUCCUGAGCUGAAGCAGGCCAGCUGCCUUUGCUCCCUGCUGGGUCCAUCCUGGAGUACAAAUGGCUCCUGAGGUGGAGAAGAUGGCUUUACCCUGAUUCCCCUAAGAAAGCCACUCCCUUCUUCUUGUUGUUCACAUGUGUGUUAUCCCAGGCCAUGGGAAAAAUCCAUCAUCAAAAAAAGUCUGCUUGGAAGCUUUCCCAGCUGUUGGGUGUUCUGGUCUGGCUGGGGACAAAGUGAUGUUUGUGCAGGGAAAAGGGAAAAGGCUCUCAGCAUGGUGAGGAUGGCCUUGGCUGUAGGGUUGUUUCACCUCUCUGUUAUCUGGCUGGAGUUGGUAAGAGCAUUACAAAGCCAUAGGGGGAUUUAGCAAAUGGAAAAUGAGGAACACAAAUACAGUGUUUUAACAUGCCAUACAGGAAGCAGAGAGUGUGCAGGAUUUUAGGAGCUUUUACUCCUAAGAUACAGGCAAAAGUGUAGGAUGAAGGAUCAGGUCUAAGAAUAGUUGUGUUCAGCUUCUCUGUGCAGUGGGAGUUGAAUUGCAGAGUUGGAAAAGGAAAAUUACCAACACAAGGUAAUACUUUUCUAUAUUUUGGUAAAAUACAGCAGUCCACAGGCAGUCCUUGGCAGGUUUUGGGUGCAGUGCCAUGCCCAGGUUCUUUUGUUAGCUGUUUGCUCAAGAGCUGAAAGUCUCCAAAUAGCAAGUGUGGCUGUGGCUUUUCCUGUUUAUAAUCCAGACCCAGGACUUGUGCCCCAGUAACUGGAGGUGUUUAACCCAAUAUGCAGAACCAAAUGAAAUCAUCCUGGCUCGUUUAUACUUGUAGUGGAAAGACAGAGACCUGCAGCAGGGGUGCAGAAAGAGCUUGUUGAACUGGUCACUAUUUAAAUUAAUGAUCUUAAUGAUUUAGAAAGAAAUCUUGGACAAUAAUUGUGUAUUCAGCAAGAUGAGUCCUGGAGAGAGGAUGAGUCCUUCAGAAAAGGACUUCAAUCCCUCUUCUGUUUGCAUUUUUUUAAAAGUCAUAACUGUCCAUGCAAGUAAAUCCAGCAGAGGGAGAUGAAACCCCUUUUUCUUCCCUCUGAAGAAACUUCCUUAACUCAGAGAAGAAUGAUGGGAGUGACAGUCUGGGACUGAAGGAGUUCCACCCCCUCUGGACAAAGACUCAGAAAUACCAGAAAAUUUACAGAGAAAUUGAUGUGGAUCGAUUGGGUACCAUGAACUCGUAUGAGAUGAGGAGGGCACUGGAAACAGCAGGGCUCAAACUGAACUGCCAGUUACAUCAGAUCAUUGUGGCUCGUUUUGCUGAUGAGGAUCUCGUCAUUGACUUGGACAAUUUUGUGUGCUGUUUGAUUCGGCUCAAAACCUUGUUCAGUGAGUACACACAGCAACCAGACAGGCUCUGCUGCCUUGUGAUUCCAGCAGGAUAACUGUCCAGGCAGAACUGUCCAGAAGCCCAGGAUAAGUGGCUGUGUUUUACUGUCAUUUGAGCCACUGGCAUCAGCCUGAGACCUCAACAAGAGCAUGAUCAGGUGAAGAUAAUCAAGCUACAUACAAGUAACAUCCAAACAUGAAUAUGCCUUAACUUACACAAAGUAAGCAGAUUUUGCACGCAAUUGCAAGAGGAAAAGCGUUCUACUUCCACAGAAGAACCUGCAACCUCAUUUUUAUGGACCUGACAGUCUGUGCCUACUCCCAUAUAGCCUCUGGACAAAGGCUUUAGUUUAGUACCAAUCUUCAGUGCAAGUUUUUCACUGCUUUGCUAAUAUCUUUGUAUUUAAGGCAUUUUACAGGACUUCAGGAAGAAAAGCUCAUUAUAGCUUGACAGUCUGGUUUUAAAAAGUGCUUUUUGAACAACAACCUGCAUAUCUGAAAUUAGCAAAGAGAUAGUAUUGCAUAUCUAACCAUCUGUACUCAGAGAUAGGGGUUCCAAGACCCAGCAUAUCCUAGUUAAAUAUUCUUUAAAGAAUUUUUUAAAGCAAGUACGUCUUUGACCAAAGUGAGCAUUGAUGUGCCUGGAGCUGGAGGCUGCUGGUAACAAGAUUCUUCCAAGAGAAAGCCCAUGCUGAGGUGGAAUCUUGAGUUCCUGUAUCUUAUUUAUCUUCAUUUGAAAUACAAAAAGCAUUUAAAUUUAAAAAAAAAAAAAAAAAAGGCAGAAAUGAAGUUUACCAGACUGUUAUUUCUGCUGAAGAUAGGCUUUUUUUUUUCCUUAGAGGUUGAUACUACAUUCCCCACACCCAGCCUGUUGAAAACAGAGGCUGUGACUAUGAGCCAACUGCUGCUGCCUUUAGUUUCCCCACCUGAGGAAUUGUGUCCUCCUUACAAAAAAUUUCUUCCUUAUGGGCACCUUUUCAGAGAGCAGUAGGACUUACCUAGUAGGAAAACAUGAGCCUGCAGGGUGAGGCACUUUCCAAAUACCCUUAAGGAAUUAUUUGCUCCUCCAUUAAAUACUGUUCAGUAUCAAAUUAUUGCCAAAUGGAGAGAUAGAAAGGAUAGCUCUAUAGGAAAGGCUUUAUUUGGAAAAUACUUAUACCAAGUUGAGUUUUUUCCUUAAGUAUGUCCCUUAGCUUUUAAGGUUAACAAUGUGUCACUAACAGAUCCAGCUCAAUUUUAAAUGCAGAAAAACUAUCUUGAAUGGAUGGGGGAGGAGUGGCUCAGUUUAAUACAGAAAGUAGCUGAAAGUUACUGUAAUGUAGAACAACAGUGUGUCUUACUGGUAACAUUUCUAAUAAAAAUCACAAUUAAAA